rnacentral:rRNA from 1 species
UUACGUCUCCGAAUCGCCCUCAAUGUGCCUGACUCCACAUCAUAUCUCGGUCGCUAAGCCGAGUUGAGCUUGGUUAGUAUUUAAAUGGGAAACACCCUUGGAAGACGAGGUAGGCUUGGG